ACUAAAGGAAUUGACGGGGCCCGCACAAGCGGAGGAGCAUGUGGUUUAAUUCGAUGAUACGCGAGGAACCUUACCUGGGCUCGAACGUAAGAUGACUGUAGGUGAAAGCUUACAUCUCUUCGGAGCAUUUUACGAGGUGCUGCAUGGUUGUCGUCAGCUCGUGCCGUGAGGUGUCGGGUUAAGUCCCAUAACGAGCGCAACCCCUACCUUUAGUUGCCAUCAGGUUAAGCUGGGGACUCUAAAGGAACUGCCUACGCAAGUAGUGAGGAAGGCGGGGAUGACGUCAAAUCAGCACGGCCCUUACGUCCAGGGCUACACACGUGCUACAAUGGCCGAUACAGAGGGCAGCUACCUGGUGACAGGAUGCAAAUCUCCAAAGUCGGUCUCAGUUCGGAUCGGAGUCUGCAACCCGACUCCGUGAAGUUGGAUUCGCUAGUAAUCGCGCAUCAGCCAUGGCGCGGUGAAUACGUUCCCGGGCCUU
rnacentral:rRNA from 1 species